rnacentral:rRNA from 1 species
ACGGCUCAGUAACACGUCGGUAACCUGCCCUAAGGUCAGGGAUAACCUCGCGAAAGUGAGGGUAACACCUGAUAGGGAAAUUCAACUGGAAUGAGUUUUUCCCAGAAACUCGUGCCUUAGGAUGGGCCGGCGGCGGAUUAGGCUGUUGGCGGUGUAAUGGACCACCAAACCGAAGAUCCGUACGGGCCAUGAGAGUGGGAGCCCGGAGAGGGACACUGAGAUACUGGUCCCAGCCCUACGGGGUGCAGCAGGCGCGAAACCUUUUCAAUGCGCGCAAGCGUGAGAAGGGAAUUCCAAGUGCUCAAGUUUUACUUGGGCUUUUGCCAAGUGUAAAAAGCCUGGCGAAUAAGAGGUGGGCAAGACUGGUGCCAGCCGCCGCGGUAACACCAGCGCCUCGAGUGGGGAUCGCGAUUAUUGGGUCUAAAGCGUCCGUAGCAGGCCUUGUAAAUGCUUUGUGAAAUCGGCAGGCUUAACCUGUCGGCGUGCAGAGUAAACUGCAGGGCUUGAGACCGGGAGAGGUUAGAAGUAUUCCUUGGGUACCGGUAAAAUGGGUUAAUCCAGGGAGGACUACCAAUGGCGAAGGCAUCUAACCAGAACGGUUCUGACUGUGAGGGACGAAAGCUAGGGGAGCAAAACGGAUUAGAUACCCGAGUAGUCCUAGCCGUAAACGCUGUGAGCAAGGUAUUGCGCCUCCCACGAGGAUGCGCAGUGUCGAAAUGAAGAUGUUAAGCUCACCACCAGGGAAGUACGGUCGCAAGGCUGAAACUUUAAGGAAUUGGCGGGGGAGCAC